AGCGAACGCUGGCGGCAGGCCUAACACAUGCAAGUCGAACGAACCUUUCGGGGUUAGUGGCGGACGGGUGAGUAACACGUGGGAACGUGCCUUUAGGUUCGGAAUAACUCAGGGAAACUUGUGCUAAUACCGAAUGUGCCCUUCGGGGGAAAGAUUAAUCGCCUUUAGACCGGCCCGCGUCUGAUUAGCUAGUUGGUUGAGGUAAUGGCUCACCAAGGCGACGAUCAGUAGCUGGUCUGAGAGGAUGAUCAGCCACAUUGGGACUGAGACACGGCCCAAACUCCUACGGGAGGCAGCAGUGGGGAAUCUUGCGCAAUGGGCGAAAGCCUGACGCAGCCAUGCCGCGUGAAUGAUGAAGGUCUUAGGAUUGUAAAAUUCUUUCACCGGGGACGAUAAUGACGGUACCCGGAGAAGAAGCCCCGGCUAACUUCGUG
rnacentral:rRNA from 1 species